CUACGGGCGGCUGCAGUCGAGAAUCUUCCGCAAUGGGCGCAAGCCUGACGGAGCAAUGCCGCGUGAGGGAUGACGGCCCUAGGGUUGUAAACCUCUGUCAGAAGGGACGAAGAACGUGACGGUACCUUCAGAGGAAGCCAUGGCUAACUACGUGCCAGCAGCCGCGGUAAUACGUAGAUGGCGAGCGUUAUUCGGAUUUACUGGGCGUAAAGGGUCCGUAGGGGGUCUGCCAAGUCUGAUGUGAAAUCCUGCGGCUCAACCGCGGAACUGCAUUGGAAACUGGCGGACUAGAGUGUGCGAGGGGUGAGCGGAAUUCCUGGUGUAGCGGUGGAAUGCGUAGAUAUCAGGAAGAACACCGAUGGCGAAGGCGGCUCACUGGCGCAUCACUGACCCUGAGGGACGAAAGCGUGGGUAGCAAACAGGAUUAGAUACCCCAGUAGUC
rnacentral:rRNA from 1 species